rnacentral:rRNA from 1 species
UCCCAGACUCCUACGGGAGGCAGCAGUAGGGAAUCUUUCACAAUGGGCGAAAGCCUGAUGGAGCAACGCCGCGUGCAGGAUGAAGGCCUUCGGGUUGUAAACUGCUUUUAUAAGCGAGAAAUAUGAUGGUAACUUAUGAAUAAGCAUCGGCUAACUCCGUGCCAGCAGCCGCGGUAAUACGGAGGAUGCGAGCGUUAUCCGGAUUUAUUGGGUUUAAAGGGUGCGUAGGCGGAUUUUUAAGUCAGCGGUAAAAUGUCCGGGCUCAACCCGGGCCGGCCGUUGAAACUGGGGAUCUUGAGUGGGCGAGAAGUAUGCGGAAUGCGUGGUGUAGCGGUGAAAUGCAUAGAUAUCACGCAGAACUCCGAUUGCGAAGGCAGCGCACCGGCGCCCUACUGACGCUCAGGCACGAAAGCGUGGGUAUCGAACAGGAUUAGAUACCCUCGUAG